CCUACGGGAGGCUGCAGUGAGGAAUAUUGGUCAAUGGCCGGGAGGCUGAACCAGCCAAGUCGCGUGAGGGAAGACGGCCCUACGGGUUGUAAACCUCUUUUGUCAGGGAGCAAGGUGCAGGUCGGGACCUGCUGUGAGAGUACCUGAAGAAAAAGCAUCGGCUAACUCCGUGCCAGCAGCCGCGGUAAUACGGAGGAUGCGAGCGUUAUCCGGAUUUAUUGGGUUUAAAGGGUGCGCAGGCGGAGGCACAAGUCAGCGGUAAAAUCGCGGGGCUCAACCCCGCUCCGCCGUUGAAACUGUGUGCCUUGAGUGCGCGAAGGGUAGGCGGAAUGCGUGGUGUAGCGGUGAAAUGCAUAGAUAUCACGCAGAACUCCGAGCGCGAAGGCAGCCUACCGGCGCGCAACUGACGCUCAUGCACGAAAGCGUGGGGAGCAAACAGGAUUAGAUACCCGUGUAGUC
rnacentral:rRNA from 1 species